UGUGUACAUUGCCUCGUUGCAGCUAAGCCAUCUAUCUCGGUUCUCAGGCCAAGUCAACCAUCAAUCAUUCGUCCUCCCCAGUGGAGUCCAACUACUCAAUGGCAGAUGGUGGCCUACUUCUCCGGACAGCUUCAGAUGCCCAUCUCCGCGUGCUAAUUAAAAAGGCAAAUAAAUAGAGUAAAUACAGAUGCGGCUGCAUGAUACGUGAGAGACUAAUCUGAGGAAUGAUAAGGAGAUGAGUUACCUUAUCGACCUGAAAUCUGUAAACAUAAGUCUCUUCAGGAUUGAUGGCGCACUGUGAGAUGGAAGCUGUUCCAUCAGCCCAUGGUGUUCCAUACUGGUUGCAGCCAGUGACGUGCACAUUUGUAAGCAUAAUAGCAAGGACAUGAACGCAUGAAAUGAAGUGGAUGACAACUCCCUCGGUGUGAAGGGCGUUCUUCAGCUCGACAUGGAUGGUGUCGCCGGCCUUGGCGCGGAUGGUCGGUCCAGGGAACUGGCCGUUGAUCCCAAGUAGAAUCUUCUCCUCGCAAUCCGGCGACGCAUACAUGUAACCCACCUCCCACUUGAAAUGCCUGGUCUUUGACGCCAAGCCAGCCUGCAGCAGGAGUGAGAUGAUACAAGAGACGUACAGAAGCGAGACCAUAGUCAAAUGGUAGUAUUAUCCGGUUGAACUAGCGAGUGGUAGCCGAUGGAUGGAGUGUUUGGAAACAGGUGGAGAUGAAGGUUGAAGGGGAAGACUAAGAGGGAGUAGAAUUAGAAAGACUGUGGAUGAAGCAGCAUGUUUCUUGAGUUGGUUGGAGCAACUAUGCUGCAGUGGGUGCUUUUUUUAUAGUGGGAGAUGGGUUUAAAUUAGAGCAAGGAAUUAUCAGAAUUCUUAGUUGAUUGUCACUUUUAUUAUAUAGGGUAUGAUUUGAAUCAUAGUUUCUCAUGUUACAAAGGAACAACUUUAUGAGGUCCAUCCUCAACAACUAUUUUAAAGAUAGAUGAAGAGAGAGAACUGAGCAUAACAGGUGGUGUCGAUGAUGGUCUUUGGGAUAGUAGAGCAUCUUUCUCCCGUAUUGUGAGGCACAUGGUAGGGAAUCAUGCCAAAAGAGAGUUGGGUUGGUUUAUCUAAAGAAGACGAAUAGUAAUCAACAUCAGCUACUUGCAUCACUUUGACUAGGUGACCAGAAUCUUUUGAACGUUGAUGCAACUUGCUUCGGCUACUUGCAUCAAUCACUUGUGAACAAAAAGAACCAAGAAUCCAAGGAGGAACAAGAAGACAUUCUGAAGAAUGAAGAAUGGUACAAUAUGCCUCGGCUACUUGCAUCGCCUUUGACGGGGUGAAAUGAAUCUUAUGAAGAAUGGUACAGCAUGCUUCAGCUAUUUGCAUCACUUUGGAAGAAUCUAAAGAAUGGGUCACCUCAAGCAUUUUGUGGCGCAAGCUCUCCAGAAUAUGCAUCUAUAGCAUGUAUUUAGAGCUGUCAGAUUUCAAAAACCCUUGUUAUUUGGGCAGCAUGUCAGGACAUUAUCACCAUGAAGCUCCGAAGCACAUCCUUUUUUAGCAUCUGUAAUUAAUGGCACUGUAUUUACUGAAUGCUGUAUGUUUAGUGUUUGUGUGUGGGCAACAUUUUGCUCUGCCAUCCACUGUGAUAGUUUGCUACAAUUUUGGGGUAUCUCUCUCUUUAUGUCCAA